GAUGAACGCUGGCGGCGUGCCUAACACAUGCAAGUCGAGCGAUUUACUUCGGUAAAGAGCGGCGGACGGGUGAGUAACGCGUGGGUAACCUGCCCUGUACACACGGAUAACAUACUGAAAGGUAUGCUAAUACGGGAUAACAUAAGAGAGUCGCAUGGCUUUCUUAUCACAGCUUUUGCGGUACAGGAUGGACCCGCGUCUGAUUAGCUAGUUGGUAAGGUAACGGCUUACCAAGGCGACGAUCAGUAGCCGACCUGAGAGGGUGAUCGGCCACAUUUGAACUGAGACACGGUCCAAACUCCUACGGGAGGCAGCAGUGGGGAAUAUUGCACAAUGAGCGAAAGCCUGAUGCAGCAACGCCGCGUGAGCGAUGAAGGCCUUCGGGUCGUAAAGCUCUGUCCUCAAGGAAGAUAAUGACGGUACUUGAGGAGGAAGCCCCGGCUAACUACGUGCCAGCCGCCGCAGUAA
rnacentral:rRNA from 1 species